rnacentral:rRNA from 1 species
GCCGCAAGACUAAGACUUAAAGGAAAUAGUCGGAGCCACAAAAAACGGCGGAGCGAGCGCUUGAAUCGGAUAAAAAAGCAGAACCAAGAAAGGCUUUACCUGGUUAGAACAGGCCAAAAAUUGUUAAAUUCGUCCCACUUGAAACACGUGACGAAUGGUUUGUCUCCGCCUGCGUUCUGGAGUGGUAGGGUUAAUUCCGCCAACGAGGCAAACCCUCGUUUCUUUCUGCCACCCCUAAACGGUGGGAACCCAUGGGAUCCGCCCGCGCCCACCUCGGAGGAAGGGGGGGAGGAGGUCAAAUCACCAUCCCCCUUACGUCUUGGGCUUCACGCAUGCUACAAUGGCCGGUACAAAGGGCUGCAAUCCCGUGAGGUGGAGCGAAUCCCAAAAAGCCGGUCCCAGUUCGGAUUGAGGUCUGCAACUCGACCUCAUGAAGUCGGAGUCGCUAGUAAUCGCAGAUCAGCAACGCUGCGGUGAAUACGUUCCCGGGUCUUGUACACACCGCCCGUCAAGUCAUGAAAGUCGGUAACACCUGAAGCCGGUGGCCUAACCCUUGUGGAGGGAGCCGUCGAAGGUGGAUUCCGUAGGUGUU